rnacentral:misc_RNA from 1 species
GGGGAGACAACUUGUUAAAGGCUAGAAUAAGGGAGAUACCUGCACAAAACAAAUUGCAGUAUCUCUAUUCCCUUUUGUCAGCAGUUCUUCCAGUUGUUAAGCAUAUUCAUAAUCAGCAGUGCUUUGAGGUGGAACUAGAAAAAAGACUACGAGGAAAUGGAAUGGAUCUUUGUCGGACAAAAUUGAAUGCAGAUGAGCAAAUGUGCUGUAAUUUCUGCAGGAUACCAAUUGUUGAUUACCAUAGACACUGCUCAAAUUGCUCAUAUGACCUCUGCCUUAGCUGCUGCAAAGAUCUCAGAGAUGCAACCAAGCUUGUGCAGGAUGACAGGGGUAAGAAAUUCCUAGAAAGAGCUGAUUGCAGAGAAACCACAUCAAAGG